GUAUGUACAUAUGUAUUAUGGGGUUUGGGGGACUGGGUGCCCUAGCAUAUUGUGGAAGUCAAAGGUCAACUUUGUGGAGUCUCUCCUUUCAUUUUCAUGUAGAUUUGUGCAUUAAACUCAGGUCAGGUCACCAGGUUUAUAUGGCAAGAGCCUUUAUCCACAGCUGUAUAGUGGGCCCGUAACUCUUCAUUUCCAUGAUCAUUGCUUUUGAUUGUCAACUUGAUUGGACUUCAGAUUAACUUGGGGAUAUGUUAGAAAUAUCUUGGUGUAUAGUAUGUCUCAGUAGAUAUAUCUAAAGACAGUUAACUGAGGAUUGUCAUAUACCAUAAAUAUGGAUUCUGUAGGGGCCCAGAUGAAUAAAAUGGAAAGGAGAAAGCCAGAGAGGCACUAGCAUUCUCUGUUCACUCAUUAAGUCAACAGCUCUCCAUGUAUUUCUGCCACCAUUAUUCUCUGUCCAAGAGCCUGUAGCCAAGUGACAUUAUGAAACCAUGAGCCAAAAUACAGUAAUGUUCCAUCCAAGUUAUUCUUAAGUGUUUGUAUAACAAUGAGAAAAGUGACUGGUAUAAUUUUAUAUUAAGGAAACUAAUUCAUCCUAAUGCUUUUCCUCUUUCCUACAUGUUGAGAGAAUUGAUUAUACUCGGGAUACAAUGACCAGUGCUACUGAGAGAAAGGGGACUCUGUAUGAUUAUAAGUUACUAACAUUUGAGGCACUGCCUUUAUAAAUAUGGUGACUAACUUUAUGAAUUUAAUUUUUGGUCUCUCAUUUACCAAAGUCCUUUUUUAAAUUUUAAUGAAUCCAAUUAAAAUAGUCCAUGUUUGGAGAUGGAGCACUUUGUGGUCCCAGGAAAUUCUCUUUAAUUGAGUGCAAACAUUGUUACAGGGAAAUAGAAGAGGCUUCGGGGUCAGUCGCUGAUUUCUUUUGCACUGGCCUUCACUAUGAAGUUAUUUAGCAGGUUUGGUUCUCAGGAAGAUGCAUUGGAGUAGAUGAAAGCGAGAUAAAGAAUUGCAGAGCUUCACAGAAGAAAAUGGUUGCUUGCAAUGGCCAUGCUACCAGAGUGUGUGCAAUCACACGUAUAUGCAAGCUCCCACAAAGCUGUUCAGGCUGAAACACACUCACCUUCAGUUUCCACUGCUGAAUUAAUAAGUAAGGACAUGCAUACAUGGUUUUUAAUAUUCCUGUUUGGUUUUCAGAAAAUUAUAUACAAACUUGAUUUUUAAAAGAUCAAACAAAUCACCAAAGCUAUUUAGUAAAAGAAGCAACCCUCAGUUCCACCUUCAAUCAACUUCUCUUCAGAUGAACUUUGAGUUAUUUUUGCCUCAGACCAAAUACUAUAUUUAUAUUUACACUUAAUUACUCUGUUCAUUGUGUAUUGCUGUCUUGAGUCUAAAAAUAUUUAAGAAGCUUUGAAAAAUUAUCCUCUCCCUGUUUCUCUUCAUGCCUUAUAAUCCCACAUAAAUGAGUUUGUCAUAAUUUUUAACUCAAUAUUUAAUAUUUAUAUUGUUGUUAUGAAUCUUAUAAUAUAGUACCUGUGGAGUUGUGCUACUUUAGUAUAUACUCAUAUGUUAUCUAAGUACAGUUAUUCACUGUAUAAUUGGUUUUAAACAUACUUCUCAGUUCCUGUAUGGUGGUUUGUUCCAUUGUCCCUUUUAUUUAUCAUUUGAUCAACUUGCUUUAUACAGAAUAGCAUAGCCUCAGUUGCUGACAGUUUCCUGUGAUGUGUAUAGACACUGUGUGAAUUCUCUCAGUCUUAUCUUAAAGGGAACUUUCAUGAGAAUCUUGGUGCAUUCAUCCCAGGCUGAGAGUCCCUCUUGAUGGGUUGGAAGUCACCUCUUGUCCUCGUCUUCCUCACCUAUACUCAACAUGGUUGCUUCAAAUGAUUUUACUUGUGGUCUCCUCUAUGCCAACUGUAGUUUUGAAACUGGAUGCAAACCUGAACAUAUCUGAGAAGGAGGAAUGUCACUGGAAGAACUGCUUCCCCUCCAUCAUUUUGUUCUGUAGGAUUUCAGACAGAGCAGGUGGUCCAUCCCGAUGUGGAAGAGUGCCUGCUGGGGCGCCUUCACUCCGUAGAGGCAGGUGUGUGUGGUUAGUGUUUAUCAUGCUGUGGCCAAACAGGCAACGAAGAAUGCCAGUGACAACCAGAAGCAGUAUGCCAGAGGACAAAUAAAGGUAUUUUCUGAUAUGGAAAGGUUCGACUAAACAAACUAGAUAAGAUGGAUGAAGCAAAGAAGUGCAGACCGACAGGAACCGGAUGUA
rnacentral:sRNA from 1 species